rnacentral:rRNA from 1 species
UACGAAGGGGGCUAGCGUUGUUCGGAAUUACUGGGCGUAAAGCGCACGUAGGCGGACUAUUAAGUCAGGGGUGAAAUCCCGGGGCUCAACCCCGGAACUGCCUUUGAUACUGGGUAUCUGGAGGUCGAGAGAGGCGAGUGGAAUUCCGAGUGUAGAGGUGAAAUUCGUAGAUAUUCGGAGGAACACCAGUGGCGAAGGCGGCUCGCUGGCUCGAUACUGACGCUGAGGUGCGAAAGCGUGGGGAGCAAACAGG